rnacentral:rRNA from 1 species
UACGAAGGGGGCUAGCGUUGCUCGGAAUCACUGGGCGUAAAGGGUGCGUAGGCGGGUCUUUAAGUCAGGGGUGAAAUCCUGGAGCUCAACUCCAGAACUGCCUUUGAUACUGAGGAUCUUGAGUUCGGGAGAGGUGAGUGGAACUGCGAGUGUAGAGGUGAAAUUCGUAGAUAUUCGCAAGAACACCAGUGGCGAAGGCGGCUCACUGGCCCGAUGCUGACGCUGAGACGCGAAAGCGUGGGGAGCAAACAGG